AGAGUUUGAUCCUGGCUCAGAACGAACGCUGGCGGCAUGCCUAACACAUGCAAGUCGAGCGCCCUGGCAACGGGGAGCGGCGGACGGGCGAGGAACGCGUGGGUGGACCUGCCCUGUGGUGGGGGACAACCCCGGGAAACUGGGGCUGAUACCGCAUGUGCCCUGCGGGGCAAAGCCGAGAGGCGCCAUGGGAGGGGCCCGCGUUCGAUUAGCUUGACGGUGGGGUGACGGCCCACCGUGGCGACGAUCGUUAGCUGGUCUGAGAGGGUGGCCGGCCGCACCGGGACUGAGACACGGCCCGGACUCCUACGGGAGGCAGCAGUGGGGAAUAUUGGACAAUGGGCGGAAGCCUGACCCAGCGAUGCCGCGUGGGUGAAGAAGGUUUGCGGGUCGUAAAGCCCUUUCGGCGGGGAAGAUGGUGACGGUACCCGGAGAAGAAGCCCCGGCUAACUUCGUGCCAGCAGCCGCGGUAAUAC
rnacentral:rRNA from 1 species